AACGCGAAGAACCUUACCAGGUCUUGACAUCCAACUAACGAGGUAGAGAUACGUUAGGUGCCCUUCGGGGAAAGUUGAGACAGGUGGUGCAUGGUUGCCGUCAGCUCGUGUCGUGAGAUGUUGGGUUAAGUCCCGCAACGAGCGCAACCCUUGAUCUUAGUUGCCAGCACUUCGGGUGGGCACUCUAAGGUGACUGCCGGUGACAAACCGGAGGAAGGUGGGGAUGACGUCAAAUCAUCAUGCCCCUUAUGACCUGGGCUACACACGUACUACAAUGGCCGGUACAACGGGCAGUGAAGCCGCGAGGUGGAACGAAUCCUAAAAAGCCGGUCUCAGUUCGGAUUGCAGGCUGCAACUCGCCUGCAUGAAGUCGGAAUUGCCAGUAAUCGCGGAUCAGCAUGCCGCGGUGAAUACGUUCCCGGGCCUUGUACACACCG
rnacentral:rRNA from 1 species